rnacentral:rRNA from 1 species
GAUGAACGCUGGCGGCGUGCCUAAUACAUGCAAGUCGAACGAACAGAUGACUAUCUUGCUCCUCUGACGUUAGCGGCGGACGGGUGAGUAACACGUGUAUAACCUACCUAUCUGACUGGGAUAACUUCGGGAAACCGGAUCUAAUACCGGAUAAUAUAUUGAACCGCAUGGUUCUAUAGUGAUUUACGGUUUUGCUGUCACUUAUAGACUUAUCCGCGCCUCAUUAGCGAGUUGGUUAGGUAACGGUUUACCAGGGCAACGAUGCGUUGGCGACCUGAGAGGGUGGUCGGCGACACUGGAGGGGAGACGCGGUCCAUGGUCCUACGGGAGGCAGCAGUAGCGAAUGUUCCGCAAUGGGCGGAAGCCUGACAGAGCGGCGCCGCGUGGGUGAUGAAGGUCUUCGGAUCGUAAAACUCUCUUAUUAGGGAAAAACAAAUGUGUAAGUAACUAUGCACGUCUUGACGGUACCUGGUCAGAAAGCACCGGCUAACUACGUG